UACGUAGGGUGCGAGCGUUGUCCGGAAUUAUUGGGCGUAAAGGGCUCGUAGGCGGUUUGUCGCGUCGGGAGUGAAAACACUGGGCUUAACUCAGUGCUUGCUUCCGAUACGGGCAGACUAGAGGUAUGCAGGGGAGAACGGAAUUCCUGGUGUAGCGGUGAAAUGCGUAGAUAUCUGGAGGAACACCGGUGGCGAAGGCGGCGUCCUGGACCAACACUGACACUGAGGAGCGAAAGCCAGGGGAGCAAACGGG
rnacentral:rRNA from 1 species